CUCUCUCCUUGGUGAAGCUUCCCCUGCAAACCUGGAAUCUUCUGAUAUGGUUGAGCAGAAGAGGAGCGCCGCGAAGGGAGCGGGCGUCCAGCACGGCGCGAGGCGGCUGCAACGGUGGGCGGGAAGUUUGAAAGCUGCUCCUGAUUCAGGAAACGUGCAGGGAGAAGCGAGGGAGAGCGGCGGGCGCGCGGGGUCCUGAGCUCCUGCGUCGCCAGAUGGGCCGCGCUGUGGCCGCCCGUCUGUCGGUCCAUUUGUCCGUCCGUCCCCACGCCGUGCAUCCCUGCCCCUAAAGGCACAUGAAAGCCCAUUGCUUCCAGCAGAACAUUGACCCCGAGAUGAAAGUGUGAGAGUGAGUGGUUCUCAGAGUUACUGCAGUUGCUACAAAUCCUUGGAUGCAGCAAUUGCAACGUGAGACACCCGGGUGUCAGAGGAGAGAUGGGAAAUGUCUGCCAUCUAAAGAGAGCCUUGUGACAACGUGAGGUGACCCAAGCAGUGGGAAGCAGAACAUCUGGAGACAGAAGAGAGCAUCUGCAGCCACAGCAUCUUGCUCUGCAGCUGGCUGGGCUGGGUGCUGCCAUUGGGGAUCACAUGAAGUUCUGCUCUCAUUCCACAGCCCAAUGACUGUGUGGUGUUUCCCUGCUCUGCUCUUUGCACAGAAACAGAGGUUGCAUGGCCCAGUCCCCACUGCCCCAGUGUUGGGAUUAUGGGAACCUGUGGCGCUAGAAUUUGAAUCUUCCUUUUCAUUUAUUCUAACAAAUUUUAGAGCUUUCUCUGUGAACUCCAAUCUCUUAUUUACUUUAAGCAGAUUAACUCUUUAUAAAUAAAGAUAAGAGAAUUACAAAAGCUCUGGAGAAGGUCAGGCUGUGUGGGGAUAUGCUGUGCAGGAGCCCUGCCAGCCCAGUGACACGCUUCAUUCGGUGCCAUGUGAAGGACAAAGCUCUCCUUGCUUUGCAGGACGCUCGCCUGCAGCCCUGGGCUGUAAAGGGCCACGGCCUUCCCUCAUUAUUUCCCAUUUCUGUGCCCAGUGAUGGCCAUCGGGGCACGGUGUGCUGUUGUGCACCUCAGGCUGCUUACAGCAGCACAGCUGUGUGUUACAGAGGGAAAGGAGAUGCUGCUAAUGCAGGCGUGUGUUCUCCAGUCCAUCCACACAAGUGUCCUCUCUGA